AGAAUCAACGCUGGCGGCGUGCCUAACACAUGCAAGUCGAACGAGAAAGUGGAGCAAUCCAUGAGUAAAGUGGCGCACGGGUGAGUAACACGUGACUAACCUACCCUUGAGUGGGGGAUAACCUAGAGAAAUCUGGGCUAAUACCGCAUAAUACCUACGGGUCAAAGGAGCAAUUCGCUUUAGGAGGGGGUCGCGGCAGAUUAGUUAGUUGGCGGGGUAAUGGCCCACCAAGACAGUGAUCUGUA
rnacentral:rRNA from 1 species